rnacentral:rRNA from 1 species
UACGUAGGGCGCAAGCGUUGCCCGGAUUUAUUGGGCGUAAAGAGCUCGUAGGCGGUUCGUCGCGUCGGCUGUGAAAACCCGGAGCUCAACUCCGGGCCUGCAGUCGAUACGGGCGGACUGGAGUGUUGCAGGGGAGACUGGAAUUCCUGGUGUAGCGGUGAAAUGCGCAGAUAUCAGGAGGAACACCGGUGGCGAAGGCGGGUCUCUGGGCAACUACUGACGCUGAGGAGCGAAAGCGUGGGGAGCGAACAGG